GGGAAGCCAUUUUUCUGCAAUGGAAUUAAAUGGCCAAGUGGGCCCAAGGACUCACAGUUGGAAGACUGGAGAAGACUUUUUAAAAAGAUCUGGAUUUUUCCUUAUGACUUGGAAUCCAUCUUUGUCUUGUAUAACUAGGUCAUAGCACACCAUUCAUGUCAGCAGUUAACAGUUUUGAAUUCCAAAAAAACCUAAAGCAGUAAACAGUCCUCAGCGAAGCCGCCUUUUUGCCUACCCAACCCUGGAAAGUUUGCAGAAGUGGAAGGAGCAGAACGUGAGGGUGUAACUUACAAAAAGGUUCUGGGCCGGAGAAGGGGCGACGUUCGGGCACCCCCCGAAUGGACAAUCUUUCCUUCUGUCAACGGCAGGGGCAGGCCUAGUUUGACUCUGACAGUCCUCCCACUAAGGAAUUCCUGGUGACUGGAAGGGGGAGUGACUCAGGCCCUCAACCUCUAGCAGGUAAGGGAGCUACCUCCUGGGUGGGCAUGCCCAGUUCCUCAGUGGGCCCAGCGCGGCCCAGCCUCCGAGGAAGCUCUGAGCAGCUGGCUUGGCUCCGAGGUAUUUUUAGCUACAGAUCCAGCCCCCCUCCAUCACCACAACAGUCGAGUCCAAAUCAAACGCGCUCCAGGCAGGUGGGGCUGGGGUUCUGCCAGCCUCCUGGCCAGCAGGGGUGGGUGGGCAGACUGGGGCCAGUAUCAGCUGUUCUGCCUGGACCCAGGCCGGGCUGGGAAGGCACACUUGUGCUUAUUUCCCGCCUCCACUUCUGUGCAAGCUUGUGCUGUCAUAAGCAGAGAUCACAGCCCCAUUUCUUGGAUGGAGAAAGUGGACACUGAGGUCUGAGGCUUUUGAGGACAGUCAGGAGCCCUCCUAUGGGCUCCAGUGAUGCACUCACCAGCUUCUGGUCCUCUUCUUCCACCUCUUAGAGUGCCUUGGCUCCCUCCUGUCGUCCUGGGGAACCUCGGCCCCAGCCCUGCCUCCCCAGCCAGUCACAGCUCCUCCCUGGUCACCCUGAGGGAGCUCAGGGCCCGGCUGGUAGCUGGGUUGCUCUGCUUCUGUCCCCCACUCCUGUGGAGCCUGGCAGGCAACUCCAUGAUCUGACCCCGGUUACCUUGACAGCCCUGCCUGGCCUCCCCUCUCAUGGCCCAGCCACCCCAGAACCUGAAGAGGUUUUCUAGCUGCCGUGCAUUUGCCAGGCUGGGUUACCCACCCUACUUUCCCUGCCUGCCCUCCAGUGCUGCCAGGCCUAGUGUGCCAGCCAGCGCUCAGCCUUCAGUAAAGGGUUCCCCUGCUUCCAACCUCCAUUGCACUGCUUCCCCUAAGACUGUGACCUCCUGGAAGGCUGGAGCACAACU
rnacentral:lncRNA from 1 species